rnacentral:lncRNA from 1 species
AUGCUUCCCCCUCCUCUGCUUCCUUUCUGCUGGAUGAGCAUGCUCCUCUAUGGUAUCUUAAUGUUUCCAUGUACUUGGACAUGUCAGAGGCCAAAAUAAUGAAGUAAGUAACCGUGGACCAACACUCUGAAAACACGAACCAACCUUUCCUUCCUUUGAUUCGUUUCUCUCAAGUAUUGUCACAGCAGUGGAGAGCUGGCUAGCACUUCUCCCAUGGACAUAUUUCCAAGUGGGUAUAAGACAAAUCUACUGGCAUCUUGUUAAAAGAUGAUUGAGUGGCACCAGCAGCAUGAACCUAGGGUCCGUCUGCAUCCUGGACUUUCUGUGAUGCGUACACCCCUGGCCUAUGGCACCUGCCCAUUUCCCUGCUCAGCCCAGGCACUUUGUAGACAGAGUUUGGAACCUUGAGAAGAUGGCGAA